rnacentral:rRNA from 1 species
GUGGACGGAAACGUGCAAGCCCGCCCGCGACGAGUCCAGCCAGCCAGACGAUCUUAUCGUCGUCCACGAGCGGCUCCUGCCUCUCACAAGCCGCCCCUGCCCGCCCGGCCGGAGUAACGGCAUGAUCGCCAUGGCCGCGCGCUGCUUCUUCCACUCCUCCCCUAAACCCUGCUUCUCCUUCACCCCACGGUGCUCAUCUUCCUCCCCGCCAGCGCCAGGGGGGAAGGGAAAGGGGAAGGCGCUGAGGGAGGACUGGCGCGAGAGAUCCAAGCCCAUCCCUCCCGGAGGCGUCUACCCGGCCAAGGACAAGUGCAGCCGCUGCGGCCUCUGCGACACCUACUACAUCGCCCACGUCAACAACGCCUGCCCCUUCCUCGGGGACGGCAUGUCCCGUGUCGAGGAUCUGGAACCAGUGGUCCAUGGGAGGGGCAGGAAGGACUCCAUGGAUGAAAUGUACUACGGGGUGCACGAGCAGCUCCUGUAUGCCAGGAAAACGGAACCUGUUCAAGGAGCCCAGUGGACAGGAAUAGUGACAACAAUCGCAGUUGAGAUGCUGAAAUCAAAUAUGGUUGAUGCUGUGGUUUGUGUACAAAGGCACCCAGACAAGAAUCGGAUACCACAUCAUCAUCUUUCCUUGCAAUAACUCAAGAACAACUCAUGGACUUGACUAAUGAUGUUUAUUUAUUACCACAAUCUGCAGUGAUCCAGACGAUAGGUUUGCCCCAAGGCCUGUUUUAGCCAGGACACCAGAAGAAGUCAUUGCAGCCAGAGGUGUCAAGCCAACAUUAUCACCUAAUCUCGAUACACUAGCCUUAGUGGAGGCAGCUGGUGUAAAGCGUCUUCUCUUUUGUGGUGUCGGUUGUCAAGUGCAAGCUUUGAGAUCUGUAGAGAAGUACCUUGGCUUGGAAAAGCUUUAUGUGCUUGGCACAAACUGUGUGGACAACGGCACUCGUGAAGGACUUGAUAAAUUUUUGAAUGCUGCAAGCAGUGAACCAGAAACUGUUCUGCAUUACGAAUUUAUGCAAGACUACAAGGUUCACUUAAAGCAUUUGGAUGGGCAUAUAGAAGAGGUCCCUUAUUUUUCCCUGCCAGCCAAUGAUUUGGUGGAUGUCAUUGCACCAUCAUGCUACAGCUGCUUUGACUACACAAAUGGCUUGGCGGAUUUAGUGGUGGGCUAUAUGGGAGUACCGAAAUAUUCUGGCGUUUCUAUGACUCAGCACCCUCAGUAUAUUACAGUCAGGAACGAGCGAGGGAGGGAGAUGCUCAGCCUGAUAGAGGGCCUCUUGGAGAGCACGCCAACAGUUAGCAGUGGUGCUAGACAACCAUUUGUGAUGGAGACAGUGAAAGCUGACGAUGCUGCGAAAAUGGGAAAAGGCCCUGCUAACCCAGCUCCCAUAUUUGUGGGCAACAUCAUCGCCUUCCUGCUAAACCUGAUUGGGCCCAAGGGCCUGGAGUUUGGUCGCUACUCUCUGGAUUACCACACGAUAAGGAACUACCUGUAUGUGAACCGGGCAUGGGGAAGGGCAAGAGCGGAGCAGCAUAUGCCAUCAUAUGCCAAGAAAAUCGUGGAGGCGUACAACAAGGACGGCCGCAUCGACUCGAUGCUUGAGCAGAAUAAACAGUGAAGUGUAUUGUAUCAUACCUCCGCGUACGCAUAUGUAGCACACACGGCCACGCGAUCCUUGUAGAUAGUACUGUAUUAGCAAGCAAAACAAAUAGUGAAUGCACAGCAGAAAUAUUUAGUUCAGACAGCGAGUGGCACUCGUUAGGGCUCAGGUUACUGAUUUAGAUCUUCCCCGACAGGCAGCAGGCUCAACGAUCAGCUCUCCAAUGAUGCAAUAGAAUUUGUAACAUUAGUGUAAGACAAUAGGUUUUGGGGGGAACCGGCACAACCCUCUAGGGGUGGCCUAUCACACAUAUAUAUAAUGAAGGGGUACAAUGUUACACAUAUACGGGAACAAUAUAGUCUAACACCCUCCUUCAAUCUUAGCCACUUGCUAAAGAAUCUAGAAGGGUAAGAUUGCGCCGACAAGCCUCGAACUGCGGUAGAGGCAAUGGCUUGAUGAAGAUGUCUGCAAGUUGAUCCUUGGAAGAGAUGAACUUGAUCUGUAGUUGUUUCUGAGAUACACGUUCCCGUAUAAAAUGAUAGUCAACUUCGAUGUGUUUCGUUCGGACAUGAAAUACCGGGUUGGCAGACAGGUAUGUAGCACCGAUGUUGUCACACCAAAGAAUAGGACCAAAGAAUAGGAG